rfam:Phaseolus vulgaris cultivar G19833 chromosome 11, whole genome shotgun sequence.
AUACCUUUCUCGGCCUUUUGGCUAAGAUCAAGUGUAGUAUCUGUUCUUAUCAGUUUAAUAUCUGAUAUGUGGAUCAUUGAUUCACACGAUAUUAAAUUAAUAUUUUGAGGGAGAGUGUCCAUUGCAAUAGCUUGCUAUUGGGACUCUUAGGCACUGCUCUUGUCUUGCACUAUUGCAAGAGUUUGGUGCAUCCCAC